rnacentral:rRNA from 1 species
UACGGUGAAUACGUUCCCGGACCUUGUACACACCGCCCGUCAAGCCAUGGAAGCUGGGUGUACCUAAAGUCGGUAACCGCAAGGAGCCGCCUAGGGUAAAACUAGUAACUGGGGCC